GCCGGAGUGGCGGAACUGGCAGACGCGCAGGAUUCAAAAUCCUGAGGGGUUCACACCCCGUGUGGGUUCAAGUCCCACCUCCGGCA
rnacentral:tRNA from 1 species